UCAUAAAGACUGUGGCAAAGGUAGAAAGUCAAUCUUUUCAAAAGGAAGAAGAGUCUAGAUCUGUAACUGUUGGAUUAAGUGUUGGGGCAGCUAUUUUACUCAUCUUGAUUUUUGUUUCACUGAUUCUAUUUUUACGAUAUAGAAACAAAUCUCAAAAGGAAAAGGUAUCAUUUAAUCCAAAGGAAAGGAUAAUGCUUCAGAAAUUAGAAAAGAAACUUACAUCAACAAAGCAGAAAUUUUCCGAAAAAGACAAUUCAUCUAUUCCUGUCGAGUCAACCUUGAACCUUGCCCCCCUUGGUAAUGCAAAAGAUCAAAGAGGUGGAUUGAUACGCACAAAGAAAAUAAUAACGAUAAAGAACUUACAUGCGAUAAUAGAAAAGAUGACAUUAUGUGAAAGCGCUGGAUAUAAG